UGGGGAAUCUUGCGCAAUGGCCGAAAGGCUGACGCAGCGACGCCGCGUGUGGGAGGACACCUUUCGGGGUGUAAACCACUGUUGCCCGGGACGAACACGGCUAUUCGUAGCCGCUGACGGUACCGGGUGAGGAAGCACCGGCUAACUCCGUGCCAGCAGCCGCGGUAAUACGGAGGGUGCGAGCGUUGUCCGGAAUCAUUGGGCGUAAAGGGCGCGUAGGUGGCCCGGUCAGCGUGCGGUGAAAGCUCGGGGCUCAACCCCGAGUCGGCCGUGCGAACUGCUGGGCUCGAGCACUGUAGAGGCAGGCGGAAUUCCGGGUGUAGCGGUGGAAUGCGUAGAGAUCCGGAAGAACACCGGUGGCGAAGGCGGCCUGCUGGGCAGUAGCUGACACUGAGGCGCGACAGCGUGGGGAGCAAAC
rnacentral:rRNA from 1 species